rnacentral:snoRNA from 14 species
UUACUCAUACUACCAGACAUCUUUGUCUUUAAAGAAAUGGGGCUAAGGUGUCUAUUACAGAUGUAAGAAAACAAUUUCCUUGCACUCUCUGUCUGUCUGAUUGUGGCAGCCAAGAUUGAAUAGAGGAACACGAAA